AAAAAGACAAAUCCUGGGUUUCUGUGUCCAACUUUGACUGUCCGUCUUAUAUGAAAUUUGUUUAUAAUUCGUAUUUUCAUUGUUGUUAGAUGAUAAAAUAUGAUUAAUAUUUUAUGCGUGACUUGUCUUUUUAAUUUUUUUCAUAAUUUUUUAAAAUAAAACGGAUGGUUAAACGUUUGGCACGGAAACCAGGGUUUGUCUUUUU
rfam:Oryza sativa (indica cultivar-group) chromosome 6, whole genome shotgun sequence.